rnacentral:lncRNA from 1 species
CCUUAUACAAUUUUCCCUAAAAAAUCAAAACCUAAAACCAAGAUUCAGAAGCGGCGCCCUACACUGUUCGCUCAUCUUCCUCGCCCAAACCAAGCCCCAACUCACUCGAAACUCACCGAGUUUUUCCCUUACUCAUCUCACGCGCUCCUGCUUUCUCUCCUCUCUCCACGUAAGUGUAACGGUUUCUGAAAGCCAAAGAUCACCCCCCCCUGAUUUCAAGCUACUUCAAGCAAUUAGAAUGCUCUAAAAGAUGUGUGUUGGAUGAGUGAGAGGUGUCGGAUCGAUCUCGAUCAAUCCGAAUCCCACAUUCAUAGUGUGCUCAUUUUCAGAACGGCCUUAUCCGUUUUUUGAACAGAGAGGAGGAAUCUGGAGGUAAGAGAUAUAAAACGAGGGAAUAGGAUUUUCUUUAGGGGCUUGAGAUUUUUUGAGAGAUUUUGACAGAAAGGCUAGGGUUUAAAAGAAACAUUCUUCUUUUUCUUCGUUUCUAAUUUUGAGUUUAGUUAUCCGGAACAAGAGAAACAUAUAUUAAAUAAAAAAUCAUUGUUCUUUGAAUGUGGUUCAUUCUCGAUUACUUUUCGAAAAAAAAUCAGAAAAAAUACAUAUUCCGUCCUUUCUUUCUGGGCCGGAGGUUGUUCGAGUUUGUUCGUUGGGUGCCAUCGAAGACUGGAAUCAUUUUUUUUGGAAUUGUUGAUGUUCCUCGACUAAAUAUUUGCGGAAUCGGAAGUUGUUGUAUUCCUUGAAUUUAUUCAUUAUUGAGAAAGAUUGUGUCCCAACAGGUUUAUCUCUACUCUUAUAAUCUUUAUUUUAAUCUUAUAUAACAAGAACUACUAUUAUUCAAUAUAAUCUCACAAAGUGGGUUUUGUGAAGGUAAUAUGUUGACGACCCCCUACCGAAAGGAGACUGUUUUAAAUCGACCUUCCGCAGGAAAGUAAAAAACAAGAACAAAAAC